UCUAAUACCGGAUANNANNNNNNNNNGCAUGGGGGUGGGUGGAAAGCUCCGGCGGUGCAGGAUGAUCCCGCGGCCUAUCAGCUUGUUGGUGGGGUAACGGCCCACCAAGGCGACGACGGGUAGCCGGCCUGAGAGGGCGACCGGCCACACUGGGACUGAGACACGGCCCAGACUCCUACGGGAGGCAGCAGUGGGGAAUAUUGCACAAUGGGCGAAAGCCUGAUGCAGCGACGCCGCGUGAGGGAUGACGGCCUUCGGGUUGUAAACCUCUUUCAGCAGGGAAGAAGCGCAAGUGACGGUACCUGCAGAAGAA
rnacentral:rRNA from 1 species